rnacentral:rRNA from 1 species
CUACGGGCUGCUCCAGUGGGGAAUAUUGGACAAUGGGCGCAAGCCUGAUCCAGCAAUACCGCGUGUGUGAAGAAGGCCUGCGGGUUGUAAAGCACUUUCAAUUGUGAAGAAAAGCGAGAGGUUAAUAGCCUUUUGUCUUGACGUUAACUUUAGAAGAAGCACCGGCAAACUCUGUGCCAGCAGCCGCGGUAAUACAGAGGGUGCGAGCGUUAAUCGGAAUUACUGGGCGUAAAGCGUGCGUAGGCGGUUUAGUAAGUCAGAUGUGAAAGCCCUGGGCUCAACCUGGGAACUGCAUUUGAAACUGCUGAACUAGAGUGUGGUAGAGGGAAGUGGAAUUCCGGGUGUAGCGGUGAAAUGCGUAGAUAUCCGGAGGAACACCAGUGGCGAAGGCGACUUCCUGGACCAACACUGACGCUGAGGUACGAAAGCGUGGGUAGCAAACAGGAUUAGAUACCCUGGUAGUC